rnacentral:rRNA from 1 species
CGGACGGGUGAGUAACACGUAGAGAACCUACCUUACACAGGGGGACAACGGCUGGAAACGGCUGCUAAUACCGCAUAAGCACCCAGUUUCGCAUGAAACAGAGUGAAAAGAGUAAAUCGGUGUAAGAUGGCUCUGCGUCUGAUUAGCUAGUUGGUGGGGUAAAGGCUCACCAAGGCGACGAUCAGUAGCCGGCCUGAGAGGGUGGACGGCCACAUUGGGACUGAGACACGGCCCAGACUCCUACGGAAGGCAGCAG